rnacentral:rRNA from 1 species
AUUGAACGCUGGCGGCAUGCCUUACACAUGCAAGUCGAACGGCAUCGCGGGAAAGCUUGCUUUCCUGGCGGCGAGUGGCGAACGGGUGAGUAACACAUCGGAACGUACCGGCUAGUGGGGGAUAACCCGUCGAAAGACGGGCUAAUACCGCAUACGCUCUUCGGAGGAAAGCAGGGGACCUUUGGGCCUUGCGCUAGUCGAGCGGCCGAUGUCCGAUUAGCUAGUUGGUGGGGUAAAGGCCUACCAAGGCGACGAUCGGUAGCGGGUCUGAGAGGACGAUCCGCCACACUGGGACUGAGACACGGCCCAGACUCCUACGGGAGGCAGCAGUGGGGAAUCUUGGACAAUGGGGGCAACCCUGAUCCAGCAAUGCCGCGUGGGUGAAGAAGGCCUUCGGGUUGUAAAGCCCUUUCGGCAGGGAAGAAAUCGGCGGGGCGAAUAGCCCUGCUGGAUGACGGUACCUGCAGAAGAAGCACCGGCUAACUACGUG